rnacentral:rRNA from 1 species
AACGAACGCUGGCGGCAGGCUUAACACAUGCAAGUCGAGCGCCCCGCAAGGGGAGCGGCAGACGGGUGAGUAACGCGUGGGAACGUACCCUUUGCUACGGAAUAGCUCCGGGAAACUGGAAUUAAUACCGUAUGAGCCCUUCGGGGGAAAGAUUUAUCGGCAAAGGAUCGGCCCGCGUUGGAUUAGCUAGUUGGUGGGGUAAAGGCCUACCAAGGCGACGAUCCAUAGCUGGUCUGAGAGGAUGAUCAGCCACAUUGGGACUGAGACACGGCCCAAACUCCUACGGGAGGCAGCAGUGGGGAAUAUUGGACAAUGGGCGCAAGCCUGAUCCAGCCAUGCCGCGUGAGUGAUGAAGGCCUUAGGGUUGUAAAGCUCUUUCAGUAGGGAAGAUAAUGACGGUACCUACAGAAGAAGCCCCGGCUAACUUCGUGCCAGCAGCCGCCGUAAGAC